rnacentral:rRNA from 1 species
AGAGUGCGUAAUAGCUCACUAGUCGAGAGGUCCUGCGCCGAAAAUGUCCGGGGCUGAAACACGACACCGAAGCACAGGAUACCGCAAGGUAUGGUAGAGGAGCAUUGCUGGCGCGAUGAAGCAGUACCGGAAGGAGCUGUGGAGUGCCAGGAAGAGAGAAUGCCGGAAUGAGUAGCGAGAGAGAGGUGGGAAUCCUCUCGGCCGAAUAUCCAAGGUUUCCAGGGUAAAGCUGAUCUGCCCUGGGUAAGUCGGGGCCUAAGGAGAGGCAGAAAUGCGUAUCCGAUGGACAGCAGGUUGAGAUUCCUGCACUAUCUUAAAACAGAACUGUGGGGACAUUUGUGGAGAGCACAGGCGCGGAACGGAAAGCCGCGUGCAAGCGAAGGAGGAGUCACAUAGGAAAAACCGUGUGGCAAUCCAGAGGCGUGAUGCGGACCGAACUAAAGUAGGGAAGUGUGUGAGCCAUGAAUCAAGAAAAGCCGCUAUUGUUUUUAAGAUACCCGUACCGUAAACCGACACAGGUGGAUGAGGAGAGAAUCCUAAGGCCGGCGGAAGAAGCAUUGUUAAGGAACUCGGCAAAAUGACCCCGUAACUUCGGGAGAAGGGGUGCCUGCGAGAGCAGGCCGCAGAGAAUAGGCUCAAGCAACUGUUUAGCAAAAACACAGGUCUAUGCAAAACCGUAAGGUGAGGUAUAUGGGCUGACGCCUGCCCGGUGCUGGAAGGUUAAGAGGAGAGGUUAGCGCAAGCGAAGCUUUGAAUUUAAGCCCCAGUAAACGGCGGCCGUAACUAUAACGGUCCUAAGGUAGCGAAAUUCCUUGUCGGGUAAGUUCCGACCCGCACGAAAGGCGUAAUGAUUUGAGCGCUGUCUCGACAAUGCAUCCGGUGAAAUUGAAGUACCAGUGAAGAUGCUGGUUACCCGCGCCAGGACGGAAAGACCCCAUGGAGCUUUACUCCAGUUUGAUACUGGGAUUCGGUACUGCACGUACAGGAUAGGUGGGAGACUGAGAACUAUGGACGCCAGUCUGUAGGGAGUCGCUGUUGGGAUACCACCCCUGUAGUACUGGGUUUCUAACCAUCUGCCGUGAUCCGGCAGUGGGACAAUGUCAGGCGGGGAGUUUGACUGGGGCGGUCGCCUCCGAAAGGGUAUCGGAGGCGCUCAAAGGUUCCCUCAGAAUGGUCGGAAACCAUUUGAAGAGUGCAAAGGCAGAAGGGAGCUUGACUGCGACACCGACGGGUGGAGCAGGU